rnacentral:lncRNA from 1 species
AAGAAAAAGAAAAAGAAAAAAGGAAAGGAAAGGAAAGAAGAAGAAGAAGAAGCGGCAGUGGAAGCAAAUGUGGGAGCGGUUUCAUGUGUGGGCAUAGGGAUGGGGAAGUGCCCUUCCCCCUCCAAGAAAAAGAAAAGAAGAAGAAGAAAGGUCAUGUUUUCUAUCAAUAAUAAUACUAAAUAUUAUAAAUGAUUAUCAAGCAUAUGGUUGGUAGGGUUGUUUUCUUUGAGACUAAAUUUGGUGUUUGUAGUUUAUAGAAAACACAAGAUGAGGACUUCAAUGAUCUAAGGUUGCUCCCAGGGUCUGCUGAACCG